AGCGGUUCCAGUUUCUUCAUCCAUUGCGUCCAGUGCUUGGGAGAGAUUAGUAUGUUCAGCUGAGAUCGAGUCUGGGUGGCUGCUGUAUCCGAGCUGGGCUUGAGCUUUGGCUUGGGCUGGUUUUUUUUGGCUGCAAAACUGUCUGAUGGCACAACUGCAACAUAAAGGUUAAAUAUGGCACAGGAAAAAAAAAAAAAAAAAAGAAACAGAGCGGGGAGAAGGAAGGAUUAGAGAAAAGAAACUAAUAUAAAUCAGUUGAGGUUCUUUUUAGUGAAGAGGUCUUUGAUCUCUGCUGGGUCUUACAGAUCUUUCUUUUAAAGAGAGAGAGAGAAAAGAAGAGAGGAGGGGGGAGAGAAGGGAAAAGCGGGGAGAGAUCUUUGGCAGGUGCAGAGUGAAAACCUCUUUCAGCUACACUGAAUUCUGGAGACUGGUUGGACUAGUAGCUCUGCAGCUCCAGCUUUCAGUGGGUGUGUUAAAUAUUAUGAGCGAGCCAUGAUUCCUGCCUUCCUCACGUCAUAGUUAGGAGAUUGGCUAAAUAAACGCUACAGUGAUAGUAACAGGAAAACCUCAACCAAAAGAGGGGUUUUUUUCCCUCCUCUCCUCCCUCCUUCCCACCCCCCCUUUUCAUUCUACUGCAGCUCCAACUGGGGCAAGGAGAGGGCGUCUGUUCCACAAAGGUUUGGGAAAAAAAAUAAAAUGAAACGAAAUAAAAUGUAAAGCGGUAGAGGAGAGAGGAUCCUGCGCUGCCAGCGCUGCGAGGCGGCAGCAGCAGCGCCGUGCGCCGGGCCGGGCCGGGAUGGGCGGCCCUGCUCCGCCGCCGCCGCGCUCAUCGCCCUCGCCCCCGGCCCCGCGGGGUCAGCCCGGGCUCCGCUGGCCGGGGAUCAGCCUCCGGGUCUGAUCCGGGAUCCCUCACCGGGAUCCAGCUGCCCUCCCUCCCCUUCCCCCCUCUCCGCUGCUGGCUCUGUGCCUGCUGGCCCAGCGGGCUAGUGGCAGCCCCGGGAGCACUGAGGCAGCCGUUUGACAGCCAGGGCACCCUGCAGGAACGAGCUGCCCCUGGCGCUUCAGGUGGUCAGGCAGGGAAUGCCCAGAACCGGCAGAACGAGGCAGGAACUCGGGGAAGGAGGCUGAUGUCACCUGGCUGUUUGUUUCUGCAAGCAGAGAGCGCAUCUUCAACUGGAUCCUGGAAGCACAGAGCUUUAUGAGCUGAGAUGAUGGCCCUGGGAGAAGAUCUGGAGGGUCAUCAGCUCCAGUCCAGUGCAAUUUCACUUGGCUUUCUGCAGUUCUCUUCUUUAAAGCCCAGCUGAGCCCGAAGGAGGAUUUUGGAGGGGAGAAGGGUGGAGCAGGUUGGGUUAAAGACACCACUCUAGGAUACAGUUUGUGUCUCCAUAUGAAAAUUCCAGUUUCCCCCUGAAAGCUGCAUUCCCUGUUGCCAGUUCUAGAGCAGAGUCAUGGCCAGGGGCUGCUCCAGGGCUGCAGAGGGGCUCAGGAACCACCACAGCACUGAGCUGCUGCUGCUGCACAUCACCCUCUGGGAUCCACGUAAUAGCCAGCAAGGAGUUAAACACCAUGCAAAAAUAAUGCUUCCCUUAUUUUCUCCUUCUUUCCCCUCCUCCUCCCAUGUGCUUUUAUUUUUGUCUUGAGCUAAGUACAAAUGUUGGUUUGUUUUUUUGUUUUUUUGUUUUUUUGUUUUUUUACUUUGGCAUAACUUAUUUUGCUGUUUGAUUUUUACACAAUCCUCAGGUACCUAAUGAAAUUGCCACAUGCUCAAGGGAAAACAAGUUUUGUAACA
rnacentral:lncRNA from 1 species